rnacentral:rRNA from 1 species
GACGAACGCUGGCGGCGUGCUUAACACAUGCAAGUCGAACGGGCCUGCCUGGCUUUGGUUGGGUGGGUGAGUGGCGAACGGGUGAGUAACACGUGAGUAACCUGCCCUCUUCUCUUGGAUAACUGCUUGAAAGGGCGGCUAAUACGGGAUGUUCUGGCUGCCUCGCAUGGGGUGGUUUGGAAAGAUUCGGCCUGGUUUUGGUUGUUUUGGUGGGGGAUGGGCUCGCGGCUUAUCAGCUUGUUGGUGGGGUGAUGGCCUACCAAGGCGGUGACGGGUAGCCGGCCUGAGAGGGUGGACGGUCACACUGGGACUGAGACACGGCCCAGACUCCUCGGGAGGCAGCAGUGGGGGAUUUUGCACAAUGGGCGCAAGCCUGAUGCAGCGACGCCGCGUGAGGGAUGGAGGCCUUCGGGUUGUGAACCUCUGUCGCCGGUGAUGUAGGCUCUGCUUUGUGGGUGG